AGGGGGGAGGGGGGAGGAAAGGUGAAGGGGACUUGGCGGACGGGGUGGGUUUGCUGGAGUCGCUCCCUCCCCGUCCGGGACAGGUUGGACUCCUCCCCGGCGCCGGCCCGCGGGACGGGACUGGAUCCUCCCUCCACCCCCGACACCUGCCCGCCUACAGUCCCGGAGCCGAGCCGAUCGGAGCCGCUUUAGUUCGAGCACCGCGGAGAGUGUGAGACAGUCCUGUUAGUCAACACUGUAAAUACUUUAGGUUCUGCCUGAGAACAUUGUCCCAACCAUCCCGGGGCAGACAGGAGCAAUGACUGAUGAUAGUGACUAACCUAUGCAGCAGGAAGGUCAAAUCCCCUCCCCGUCACUGGAGGCAUGGAGGUCGAAGGUGUGGUGACCAUGGCAACUGGUGACUUUCGCUCUCCUGGAUUGCCGCGGUACACCAAAGCGGGGCAGUCGAAGGGGGAGCGGAGGAUCGAGCUGGUGCUGCGGCGGCAGAAGAUGGAGGAGAACCUACGGAGGAAGAUCGGGGAGCUGAGGGCUCUGUGUCUGCGGGAGGCUGAGCUGACCGGCCAAUUGCCCAUGGAGUACCCGUUGGAACCUGGGGAGAAACCGCCACUGGUGAUUCGUCGUUCUGGAGGGGUGUACCGAGCCUCGGAACCGAGCGCCCAUUUGGGAGGGGCACGCCUGAGGGAGCUGGAGCGGCGGUUCGAGAUGCAGCAGCAGGCUGCUGUGUCAGCGCAGGGGCUAGGUGUGAGCGCGGACGGGAUGCGAGGCCGAUGGGUGCGCAGGUACGGACGCAGCCUGCAACACCGGCUCGGCGAUCCUGCCACGGAGCUUGGCCCGUCGUCUGCGUCCAGAGACGUGCGGGGAGACGGGCAGACCAUCGGCCGAGGAGACGGCUGGACUUUGCUGCCGACUGACAUCUACUACCAGACGCGAGGCAGACGGAAUUCCUACGCCAGUCCUGUACGGAUGCUCCAGAGAAGUAUGUCGGGGGCUGGCAGACGCAGUGAGCCCUGUUCUCCCAUCGUGUACCGGGACAGGGCAGGCAGGCACAGGCCCUCCCUGCCCAGUCCAUGUGCUGACGCCUGGGACCCCCCGCUCGAAUCCCGGAGUGAGACAGGGGCAGACCGAACGUCGGUGGCCGGCGGGACCCGGCGGAGCAGCAGCUCGGAGGUGCUGGGCAGGGCCUCGCGGGGCGGGGCUGGGAAUUCAGCACUCCGAUUGGCCGCGGGCCGCUGGCCGGAGCGGCCGCCUCCCCCAGGUCCUAAUGCCCGCCUGCCGGACCGGGACCGCGAGCUGCACCGGGCGCUGGCGCUCGAGGGACUGCGAGACUGGUACGUGCGGGCGGCGGGACAGCACCGGCGUCACCACACUACAGAUGCAGCGUGUAGUGUAAAUGUCCGUUAUGGCGGGAAGAGAGACCGCACGAUGAUCUUCUCAGCUGACCUCACUAUCCGCUGCAGGGUCUUGCGAUCCGAGAUGGUGCAAUUUCCGGACCAGGCAGUGAUGCAGCUGCUCAGGAUGCUCUCAAUACGACCCCUGUAGAAUGUGAUGGGGAUAGGGGGGUGGGGGGAGAUGGACUUCCCUCAGCCUUCGCAAAGCAGAGACGCUGCUGGGCUUUCUUUGCUAUGGAGCUGGUGUUGAGGGACCAGGUGAGAUUCUCCGCCAGGUGAACACCAAGAAAUUUGGUGCUCAGUUGCAAGGAACGUGGAUGAAGGCAAGACAGUAGAUGUUGUGUACAUGGACUUUAGCAAGGCAUUUGACAAGGUCCUGAUGGGAAGCUGGUAAAGAAAGUUCAGUCGCUCAGCAGUCAAGGUGAGCUAGUAAAUUGGAUUAGACAUUGGCUUUGUGGGAGUGUUAGUAGAUGGUUGCCUCUCUGACUGGAGGCCCGUGACUAGUGGUAUGCUGCAGGGAUCGGUGCUGGGUCCGUUAUUAUUUGUCAUCUGUCUCAAUGAUCUGGAUGAUAACGUGGCUAACUGGAUCAGCAAAUUUGUGGAUGACACCAAGAUUGGGGGUGUGGUGAACAGCAGGAAGGCUAUCAUGGCUUGCAGUGGGAUCUCAAAUGACUAGAAAAAUGGGUGAUGGAAUUUAAUGCAGACAAGUACAAGAUAUUGCACUUUGGGAGGACCAGCCAGGGUCGGUCUUACACAGUGAACGGGGGGGGGGGGCACUGAGGAGUGUGGUAGGACAAGGGAUCUGGGAAUACAGGAAUAAUUUAUUGAGUGGCAACACAGGUAGGUAGGGUCAUAAAGAAAGCUUUCAGGACAUUGGCAUUUAUAAAUCAAAGCACUGAGUACAGGAGAUGGGAUGUUAUGUUGAAGAUGUCGGUGAGGCCUAAUUUGGAGUGUUGUGUGCAGUUUUGGUCACCUAGCUACAGGAAAGAUGUAAAUAAGAUUGAAAGAAUGCGGAGAAAAUUUACAAGUAUGUUGCAGGGUCUGGAGGACCAGAGGUAUAAGGAAAGAUUGAAUAGGUUAGGACUUUAUUCCUUGGCACAUAGACGAUUGAGGAGAUUUGAUAGAGGGAUACAAGAUUAUGAAGGGUAAUGAUAGGGGGAGAUGCAAGCAGGCUUUUCGACUGACGUUGGGUGGGAAUACAACUCGAGGUUAUAGGUAAAAGGUAAAAUGUUCAAGGGGAACAUGAGGGGCAACUUCUUCACUCAGAAUGGUGAGAGUGUGGAAUGAGCUCGAUUUCAACAUUGAAGAGAAGUUUGGACAGGCACAUGGAUGGUAGGGAUAUGGAGGGUUAUGGUCCUGGUGCAUGUCGAUGGGAAUGGGCAGUUUAAGCGGCUCAGCGUGGACUAGAGGGGCCAAAUAGCCUGUUUCCCUGCUGUAGUUUUGUAUGACUCCAUGACUCCAAAGUGCCUGCCUACGUUCACCCUAUCAAGAUUCAAGAUCGCUUAAUGUCAUUUCUUGCAAACAACUGUAAAGGAGAACAAAAUAAUUGUUACUCCAGAACUGGUGCAGCUCAGGAAACACAAUAAGGGGCGGACUGGCCCUCGAUCUCCCACCACAGACCCACCCUCGACUGGCGGACGCCGGAGGUUCUGACCCAAAGGCCCAGGGUCACCGACCACAGUCGCUGGUGCUGAUUGGACGAUUGGAGGGGGUGGGGCCAUGUUUCAGGAUGGGAUGGGUUGGAGGGUGGGGGUGGGGGAGAGAACCUCACAGCACCAUAUCUGGCCUAGUUACUGACUCCACCCUGUUACCUUGGCUCCUCCAUUGUUAGCCAGCCAAUGGUGUUCGUUGACUCUUCCUGCCCCUCCUGGGGUCGCCACUCCCCCACCCCCACCUGAACC